GAAUACUUGGUAUUCAAUCCGAAAACGCUAAUUCGUGCCCAACUUUUCUUUCACAGCCUUCUUGCUUUCUCCUAAAACCCUAAUCAUCUUCCCUACAUUCUCCCGCGUUCUCUUCUACCACCCUAUCAUGGAUCGUCCGUGGUUUCUAUAUUUCUUCAAUUCGUCUUCUAACUGUUUAAUGGGUCGCUUCAGGAAGAAGUCAGUUAACUGGACAAGAAUAUGAGAAAACAAGGUUCAAACCAGAAGAUUGUGAUAAUCACAGGAAUUUAAUAUUAGAUGCCAUUAGCAUCCCUGUAAUAGCAAGUAUUGGAGCGGGUUAGCGAGAAUAUUUUUCAGUGGUUUUUAAGAAAACUAAUGCUUCAGCUGCCCUUUCUGCGUGAGUAUCUCACAGGAAGGAGUGUUUUUAAGAUCAUUGGAGUUGUUUCAAGUGAAAAUGAACUGUUGGAGUGUGCAGAGGUUGAGCAUAUACAAGUUAGAAUAAGAAGGUGAUAGGGAAAUGCAAAGUCACGGCAUAGCACUAUGCUUGAUUUUUUUAAACAACGUUUUAUCUAUUCCUCAAAUAGGUUCACCUGCACCAAGCCCAGUAUUGGGCAUAGACAUAAUGGGAAUGGAAAUACAACUUCAGAAGUUGUGGCAUGGAAACUUCAAACUCAUAUAUGAUGUUCACCUUAGGAAAACUUUCUCAGUAUGUCAACUGAAGAAUAAUAUGUAGGCACUUGCACCCAUCCAUUAUUUUGCUGCCAGCUUAGAUUGUGGAACACUUAAACUUAUAAUAGGCUCUAGCUAUUGCUGAUUGGUAACAAAGCAUUAAAGUAAGCCUGAGUUGGAGAUACUACAAGAGAAGGUUGAUGAGUUCCUAGGAACACAUAAGAAACAGGAGGAAAAGGUGCUUUCCAGCAAAUGGAAGGCGGCACCAGUAAAUAUUCAUGCUUUGCAGCACGUGUUAGUGGAAACUAAAGACGGUCUGAAACUUUUGAAGACAGCAAUAGCGAAAGCAGGAUCCACCGGCUAAGUACAUCUUGAUGGUCUUAAUUAACAACCUAUUUAUUCCAAUACUGCUUCAUUAUCAACAUUGUUGCGUUCAAGUGUAUUCUUAAUAGUUAACUGCUUUGCUUUUGUGUAGAUGUUAAUUGGGUUGGAUGUUGCUGCCUCAGAGCUUUAAGUUAAGAAGGUGAACACCCACAAUAUGAAUUUCGAGAUAAAAAAAUUAGCCCUCACGAGCUUUCAUGUCUGUAUGAAUUGAUAUGACGGCACAUGCAUUAUUUAUCGCGAUAAUCAAAAGCGGUAAUACUUCAGAGAAGUAAACUUUUGAGAAAAUUUUGAAGUUAAAGUUUUUUGCUUAAAAGAAGCUAAAUAGUUAGAGUUGAAAACAAAAUGAAAAUAAGAUGUAACCACCAAAUUGAGGUGCUAAAAUAGAUGUUAGUCUUAUACAAAAGGAGUUCUUGAUGUGGUAAUUCUAAUGCACGUUUUUCUUUUGUUUGAUCUUUUAUGAUGGUGGUGCACUGGUGCUGUACUUGAUCCAGUGUUAGGGUCGUCUUUAUUGGUCCCAUUUCAUGUGUCGACACCGACACACCAUAUUGCGGGUUGCUGUCUAUGUAGUUUAAUGAAUUUAUUUUUACUCUAUCUCAAA